rnacentral:rRNA from 1 species
GACGAACGCUUGCGGCGUGCCUAAGAAAUGCAAGUCGAGCGAGGUCUAGGCUUCGGCCAAAAACCUAGCGGCGAACGGUCGCGUAACACGUAAGCAACCUGCCCUAAAGUGGGGGAUAGCCCUCCGAAAGGAGGAUUAAUACCGCAUGUGGACAUCGGAUCGCAUGUUCUGAUGUCUAAAGCAGCAAUGCGCUUUAGGAUGGGCUUGCGGCCUAUCAGCUAGUUGGUGGGGUAACGGCCUACCAAGGCGACGACGGGUAGCUGGUCUGAGAGGAUGGUCAGCCGGACUGGGACUGAGAUACGGCCCAGACUCCUACGGGGGGCAGCAAUUAGGAAUCUUGCGCAAUGGGCGAAAGCCUGACACAGCGACGCCGCGUGACUGAUGAAGUCUUUCGGGAUGUAAAGGUCUUUUCUGGGGGAAGAAGGAUGUGACGGUACCCCAGGAAUAAGCCCCGGCUAACUACGUGCCAGCCGCCGCGGUAACAC